rnacentral:rRNA from 1 species
GAUGAACGCUGGCGGCGUGCUUUACACAUGCAAGUCGAACGGAAAGGCCAGUGCUUGCACUGGUACUCGAGUGGCGAACGGGUGAGUAACACGUGGGUGAUCUGCCCUGCACUUCGGGAUAAGCCUGGGAAACUGGGUCUAAUACCGGAUAGGACAAUGGUUUGGAUGCCGUUGUGGAAAGUUUUUUCGGUGUGGGAUGAGCUCACGGCCUAUCAGCUUGUUGGUGGGGUAAUGGCCUACCAAGGCGUCGACGGGUAGCCGGCCUGAGAGGGUGUACGGCCACAUUGGGACUGAGAUACGGCCCAGACUCCUACGGGAGGCAGCAGUGGGGAAUAUUGCACAAUGGGCGCAAGCCUGAUGCAGAGACGCCGCGUGGGGGAUGACGGCCUUCGGGUUGUAAACUCCUUUCGCUAGGGACGAAGCGUAUUUGUGACGGUACCUGGAGAAGAAGCACCGGCUAACUACGUG